UACGUAGGGGGCUAGCGUUGUCCGGAAUCAUUGGGCGUAAAGAGCGUGUAGGCGGUCCGGUAAGUCCGCUGUGAAAGUCGGGGGCUCAACCCUCGAAUGCCGGUGGAUACUGUCGGGCUAGAGUGAGGAAGAGGUGAGUGGAAUUCCUGGUGUAGCGGUGAAAUGCGCAGAUAUCAGGAGGAACACCUAUUGCGAAGGCAGCUCGCUGGGACGUAACUGACGCUGAGACGCGAAAGCGUGGGGAGCAAACAGG
rnacentral:rRNA from 1 species